rnacentral:ncRNA from 1 species
UCCCGCCCCGCGCCCGGGUUAUGGCGCGGAACCUCCCUGUUGGACUGCCCGGGCCUUGCGCCCGGGCUUUUUU